rfam:Myotis davidii contig22504, whole genome shotgun sequence.
GGCAGUUCUUGGGUGAUGUACCCCAGAGUCGGGCUCCCUCCUCUCUGGUUCUGGGGUGCGUCACCCGAGAACCACC